AUGGAGGUUGUGAAGGUCCGUGUUCAAACACAACUUGCCUUUGCAAGAGGUUUAUCUGAUGGGCUCCGUAAGUUUGUGAAGGCUGAAGGAUAUGCUGGGGUUCCUAGCGCCGCCGCCGGCUCCCCCAGCCAGCACGUAGCCGCCGCUGCCGCCGCGGUCGGAGUCCGCAGUCGCCGUCAGCCCCCUACCCCCUUCCCGACCCCUUCCUCCCCCUCCCUGCGCCGCAAGCGGCGACCAAGGCGACGCUGCUCGCCCGUGCCCCUAGCGCCCAUCCUCCCCCACCCCUCCCUGCCGCCGCCCGGGCGGUGUCGGCGGCGCCGGGAUCUCCCUUCCCCACGUGUCCUGGCCUCCCACUGGAGGUGGCCGCCGGUGAGCUGGUCCGACGCGUCGCCCCCGGCCCAGAUUUGGGCCCUUGGGCCCCAUCUGGGUUAUAGGCGGGCCGCUUUGGUAGUGGCCGCCGGUGAGCUGGUCCGACCCGUCGUCCCCGGCCCAGAUCCGGGCCCUUGGGCCCAUCUGGGUUAUAGGCAGGCCGGUUCGGUAGUGGCCGCCGUGGCCGCCGGUGAGCUGGUCCGACACGUCGCCCCCGGCCCAGAUCUGGGCCCUUGGGCCCAUCUGGGUUAUAGGCGGGCCAGCGGGCCGGUUCGGUCCUCCUGCAUCGCGGUGGCGGGGGCUUCACAGGCCCCUCCGAGGCUUGGUCAGACCUGCAGGCCCGCGGGACUGGUAUGCUUCUGCUGCUUCGUCCGGUCGGCUACUGCCUCGGUGGUGGAGGUCGGUCCCUCCCGCGUGUCUACUGUGCUGCUGCUCCUGGUUUCCAGCAAAGGUGCGUCCCUUUUUUUCAAGCAUCGCGUAUUAGCUUCGGUGGGACGGCGUUGA
rnacentral:rRNA from 1 species